rnacentral:rRNA from 1 species
UAGGGAAUCUUCCGCAAUGGACGAAAGUCUGACGGAGCAACGCCGCGUGAGUGAAGAAGGUUUUCGGAUCGUAAAGCUCUGUUGUUAAGGAAGAACGAGUGUGAGAAUGGAAAGUUCAUGCUGUGACGGUACUUAACCAGAAAGGGACGGCUAACUACGUGCCAGCAGCCGCGGUAAUACGUAGGUCCCGAGCGUUGUCCGGAUUUAUUGGGCGUAAAGCGAGCGCAGGCGGUUAGAAAAGUCUGAAGUGAAAGGCAGUGGCUCAACCAUUGUAGGCUUUGGAAACUGUUUAACUUGAGUGCAGAAGGGGAGAGUGGAAUUCCAUGUGUAGCGGUGAAAUGCGUAGAUAUAUGGAGGAACACCGGUGGCGAAAGCGGCUCUCUGGUCUGUAACUGACACUGAGGCGCGAAAGCGUGGGGAGCAAACAGG